rnacentral:rRNA from 1 species
UACGAAGGGAGCUAGCGUUGUUCGGAAUCACUGGGCGUAAAGCGCACGUAGGCGGAUGUGCCAGUCAGGGGUGAAAUCCCGGAGCUCAACUCCGGAACUGCCUCUGAUACAGCACGUCUUGAGUCCGGAAGAGGUGGGUGGAAUUCCUAGUGUAGAGGUGAAAUUCGUAGAUAUUAGGAAGAACACCGGUGGCGAAGGCGGCCCACUGGUCCGGUACUGACGCUGAGGUGCGAAAG